ensembl:miRNA
AUGAGAUUCUGCGCUCACAGUCGAGUCACCGACUGUGAGCGCAGAAUCUCCU